rnacentral:lncRNA from 1 species
GGCCGCCUGGGGCCCCAGAGAGGGUAGGACAGCUCGGAGGCUGCAGCCCAGAGACUGGAGCACCGGGGGGCGGCCAGCCGUCCGGCGUGCCCACCCCCAGGGGUUCCUGGGACACGGGGCCCAGAGCACUAAGGCCAGCCAAGUCCCGGGGACACUGGGUGGCUGGUCACCUCCCGAGCGUCCAGGGCCGGGCAGUCUGUGGGAACGAGGGCCAGCCCGCAUCGCUGCCUACCUGGCGCUGACGUCUUUGGGCAGGACAAGGCUCGCGCAGCACCUGCCGAUGGCCCCGCGGCACGCUGCGUCCCGGCUCCACACCGAGGACUUGCUACAAGUGGCCCCAAGGAUUUAGUGCGGUCACGUGAAAGGGCGGUUCCUGCUCCGUGACCGGGGUUGUAAGAAAUGUCUCCACACGGCCCGCCAAUCGUCACAACCCUACGUGUGUUCCUUUCUCACUGACAACCCGUCUCUGGGGAGGGGGGUGUGGGGG